rnacentral:lncRNA from 1 species
AAUGUGCUCAUCUGCCCUCUGACAAAGUCAAAUCCUUAAUUACCAUAAUACCCUCGUUUACAAUAAAAAUUUAACCGAUCCUGGGAACCAUAUCCCACCGCCGAAUCAAAUAUCAAAGAGGAUGAUGGAGCAAUCAAAUACAUCACGUUGACAAUGAUACUUCCUUUAUUUUCAAACAAAAGGGCGUUUGGGUAAUUAUAAAAGCAAAAUGAAUUUACGAUACUGAAUCACUGAUACAAUAAUAAUGAAACACGGUAAGCGGUAGGAAUCAAAUCUAAAUCAGCGGAGGUCAUAUGUCAUGACCCACGGCGCAAUCCAAAGAUUCCAAACAAAGAGAAGUGAAAAAACCAUGGCGAGAUUUGAGGAUGCAGCUUGGAUACUGACGAGCGUGAUUCUAAGAAAGAGCAUAAGCCUGUUUCGAGAACUAUCUCACUUGUUGAUGGAUUUAGUAUCCAUUCUCUCAUCUGCCAUACAAUUUUCCGGCUUCAUCAUCCGGCGCCCCGUCGCAGUCUCCAAUAUGUAUCCUCCAAUGUCCAUCAUGGUGUAUCGCGCCUGAGAUUCAAGGUAUGAUUAUUUUUGAAUGAUAAUUAUGGCGUCUUUUUUACUUUUUGCAUUUUACCUUGUUGUAUUGCGCUGUUUGGUUGAUUUUCAGCAUUUCAUCGGAUGUUAUAAAAUGAUGAAUACUCGUACUGGUUAACGAUUUUCAUAUGCAUGUUAAUUUUCAAGCUUAAAUUAGAAUGGAUGAUGUUGAGAGUUGAAUGCAAACUCUCGAAGAACAUGUCUCGUGGUGAACGAAUUCUUAUUCCAGAAAUGAUAAUGGCGAUUUUCCUGCAAAAACUGUUUGUUUGGCAGGUCAUGGGUUUAACGUGGCUCCUUUUAUUGGGUGUCAUUCGACCGCAUAUCUCAAUUGGUUGAAUUGAAAAACAUGAUUGCAACAUGGAUUCUUACUGCAAAAUUACAAAAUGAGAGAACAAUCUCAAUGCAUUUAGCUGCUGCUUCUAUUAAGAUUUCACGAAACAUAAAUUCAUUUCAUUCUGUUAAAGAUCCCAUGAAGCAUGAAUUCACAAAGUAGAAAUCAUGAUGUAAAUAUCUAAUAUGACUAAAAUCUCUUAUUAUCUAAGUUAAAAAUAACAACAAUAAUGUGAAUUUCAGUAAAGUUUUUUGCAGUGUUAUUAAUAACUACCAUAGAAUUAAUGUCUUACUUCACAAAAACUUGUGAACAAUUUGAUGUUGUAUUUCAACUAUUUCAAUAAGAAUUGAUUUUUUUUAUUAUAUAUAUAUUUAGUUAUCUUAGAUACACUCAAUCCGGCCUAUAAUUUUAUCCUAAUUAUUGUAAGACAAUAAUAAAUCUCGAACUCAUUGCACUUACUGCAAUAAACACACGGAAUUAAAAAAUAAGAAGCAACCAAAGGCAAAAUUUAAGGAUAAAAUUUAUUUAACAUUUUCAAUAUUCCAACCAUUGAAAAUCAAUAAAAUUACUUUGUCACACUUUCCCCCUUACAUUCAAAAUCCAACACUUUGCCCCUCACAUCCCCCAAUUUAUUAAAAAGUCAAUAAACAACUUGUUAAGUAAAUAAACAAAAUUUAAAUAUAAUAAAAAAUGUCUAUUAUCCAAGUUUAAAGCUGUCAUACUUCCUAGUUAUACGUGAAAAUCACAAAUAGUCAUACAAACAUCUUUCUAAAAUAAAAAUUCAAAAUAGGUACCUAUUACGUUUAAAAAUAUUUGAGAAAUUCUACUUCAAGAUUUCUAAUUCAAAGUUGGUUCUAUUCAACUUCAAACUAAUGUUCGAACUAGAAUGUUAAAAGAAAAAACAAUCCCUUCUGUAAUUUUAUGAAAGGUUUGUAAUUGAGGGUGUUAGAAAAAUUAAGUUAAUCCAACCUAUGGUAAUCACCCUAUAGGGGGUUGGGGGUGAAUAGGGUGAUGAUCUCUUUUUGUAAAUUUAAAUUAUGUGAAUGCAAGAGAUAAUUAUAUGUAAAUAUAUAAUAAAAUAAUAUAAAAAUAAUUGCAUAUAAAUUAAGAUAAUAGAGAAAAGAGAAUAUAAACACAAUAUUUUUAUAGUAGUUCGACGCAACCCGAUCUACAUCCACUCUCCUCUAGCUUCAAUCCCAAGCUUGAGGUUCCAUUAUUUUAAGGUUUCCAAACUAAGUUUUCAAGCAAUACAAUUGAAUUAUGGUUUCAAUCUACUUUCUUGGACUUUUGACUCCAAACACUCUUUAUAAUCUUCAAAAAAUACCCCAAUCUUGAACAACAUCUCAAGUGAUACCCCACACUUGAGAAUCCCUAAGUGAUACCUCACACUUAGAUUAUUCUUCUCAAAGAUAUAUAAAUAAUUUCAUAAAAUCGUAGUACAAAACUUUAAGCUCAAAUGAUACAAGAAAACUAGGAUUGAAUGGUACACUAAAGAUAUGUAAGUUUUAGAAUAAUUGUGUACUAAAAAACACUCUCUCAAGGUUUAAAUAUAUUCAAGAAAGAUUUAGAAAGGUUAAAUUUACGAAACAAUGAAGAUUGAAGCUUUUUUAUAGAGAAAAAAAAGGUCAAACUAGCAUUUGGGGGUUCGAUUGAUUGACUAGCCGUUAGCAUUUAAUACUUGGCAGGUGACCGUUGGGUUUCGACCGGUUGAGGUGGGGGUCGAUCGGUUGAGGUUCAACUUUGACCGGUUGAACAACCGUUCUAGAAGAGAGAAAAUGUUUUUGUUUUUUUUUUUUUGCAUCCCUCGACCUGUUGAGUCAUUUUUGGCUCAACAACCAACUUUUUCAAUUUAAAACCUUUUAAACAAGUUUGAAAAACAUUUGACAUAAAGUUUUAGUUGAAAACAUGAAAUCAUUCAAUUUUAAAAUAUUUAAAACAAAAUAACUCUUUGAUGAUUUUGCUGCAUAAAUAAAGAAUGUAAUACAUGAAAAUCUUAGUGUAAUAACAACCUUACAAAGAGAUCUUAUGAAGGUCGAGUCUUGAAAAACACUUAUCUUUAAUGUCUUCUUCUUCUUAAUGAUUUUUAUUUGGCUUAAUUUGUCUUUGUAAUUGCUACUUUGGAAAUUGUCUUGUCUAAUCAUACUUGAAAUAUAAUCAUUAGUUUUAAGCCUUAUUUUGUUAUCAUCAAAACCAAGAUCAACCAAACCUUGGUUUCACAUAGGGCAAAGUGUUAUGUUUUAACAAAUUAGAGGGGUAAAAUAUUGACUUUUGAAUAUAAAGAGAUAAAAUAUAAAACACGUCAAAGAUUGAGGGGCAAAAUGUAUUUAACCCAAAUUAAUUUAUAAAGAAAUAAAAUUUUUACAUACACCCAAUUCACCAAUGAACCACCCUCAGAUGGUGGGGACAAGAGGGCAAGUUUCCCCGUGAACCCUCCAAAGUUUUAGAAAAAUUAUGUGUAAGUGAGGAUUUGAGAAGCUCUUCUAAAAACGAUUGUAUGGUUACCUCUAUUGGCUAAAGAGUGCUGAAUUUUUUUGUGAUUAAAAUGUAUUCCUGGAUCUUCCCUCCUUACAAUAUUUUCCUGGCACCACUACUACAUUUGAUAUCUAUUUUCGUGUAUUUUCUAAGAUGAAGGAUAUUUUUAAGUAAAGAAUCAUAUUUUAUAUUUAACAUUCCAAAAAUUUUCAUUCUUGUAGUUCUCAUGAGUCUAAUCAAACUCUAUUCUCCUUUUAUUCUUUUGAAAUAAACAAUUUUUAAAGUUGUAAAAUUGUUUUGAUGAUUUUUAUUUCAAGAUUUGAUUUAUUUAAGAAUAUGAAUUAAGAUAAAAAUCAAUUUUAAAAAAUAUUCCCUUGAACUAAUAUAUCAUAUACUAGAUAAAAUGUUUCUCCAAAAUUCUAUAAAUAAUAAUUUAAAUUAUAAUAUAUAAUAUAUGAAACCCACAAUUAUAAAAUCUGUUUACUAAAAAUACUUUUAAAUUUUAAAACAUCUAAUAUUCCAAUAAUUAAAUCAUGAACUUCUAUAAACUUAUAAAAUAAAAAUAAAUAUUUCUCGAUAAUUGAAAAUUUCUCAUGUAAUUAUUAUUAUUAUUAUUAUGAUUAGUAUAGUUUUUCAUUAGAAAGAUUCUAAACAUAUCAUAUAUAUUUGAUAUGCUAAAAUGAAUUUUCAUUUGAGUUGUUUUAUACAUGACAGGAUUUUUUUUUUUUUUGAGAAAAUAAUGUUGAAAUUGCUGUUGAUGGGUGAAAGGCCUAGUAGUUUUGAGAAUUUGUAAUUUCAAAGGCAUUUGUCAUUUUAAAUCAUGGUAAACUAAGACCUAGAAAUGGGUUUUAGUAAACCUAGUCAUCUGAGGAUGAUCUGCAUGUAGCACUAACCAUUUUAUCAUGUGAUACCUGUAAUACUUUUUUCCAAUGAAUUUGGGUUGGCUUUUCUAUGGACAUAUGGUUUAAUCAGAUACAAUUUGAAGGAUUUUGUAGAUUCAUGCAUUUAUAUACAUAUUAUAAGGGAGAUUAUCACCAGAGCCAACUUUAGAGAAUAUAGAACAAUGCUCUUCACAGUCUUAUAGUCUUAUAGUUAGGCAUGAAAGUGUUGGGAGGGCAGAACUUGUCUGAAUGAGAACAUUUCUUCUUGGGGGGAAAGAGUUUAGUCUAUGAGCCCAUGGAGUUUAGUCUAAUAAAUUGGCUGGUUGCUGUACAAGGCCUCUGCAAUUUAUGCAAAUGGAAAUCUGUAUAUUAAUCAUCUUCAUGUACAUGACAGAAGAGAAGAUAUACAAAGGAAGAUUAGAUCAAUUUAUAAAUGAUCAAACAAAAUCCUAUCUGCUGUGAAAUUUAGGCCUCACAUCUUCGACAUUGCAUAAUCCAUGACAUCCACAAAGAAAUCUGCCACAAAAGAAUUACGGUUCAUAAUCAAUAGAUUAAGAAGGUUAUUUGGGAUAAGAUAUUGCUAGUUGCUACCAUCGUUAGUGUGUACGUGAGGAGUAAAUCUUACCUGCAUCUUCCUUAGUGAAGCAGAGGGGAGGCGUAAUUCUGAAAACAUUUCCAUAAAAUCCGCCCUUCCCCACCAAAACUCCCAUUUCUAUUAAAACAGUACCAGUGAAUUAGUAGCUAGAUUAGAAGCAAAUCAAAGCAGACAGCAGUAACAUUUGAGAAAGGAGAAUACAGACCUUUCAUCUGGUCCAUUAUAUGCAGAAUUUCGACAUUUGCAGGAGUUUUUAGUUUGCGAUCAGUGACGAAUUCAACUCCAAGCAUCAGCCCUCUUCCCCUCACAUCUCCAAUAACUGCAGACAGGAUUACAAUACACUCAGCCAUCGUCAGAAAAAAUUACAAGGGACAGUAGAGAGAAGAUACAUACUGC